GACGAACGCUGGCGGCGUGCCUAAUACAUGCAAGUCGAACGCUUUUUCAAUCAUCGUAGCUUGCUACAUCGAUUGAAAAUUGAGUGGCGAACGGGUGAGUAACACGUGGGUAACCUGCCCAAAAGAGGGGGAUAACACUUGGAAACAGGUGCUAAUACCGCAUAACCAUGAUGACCGCAUGGUCAUUAUGUAAAAGAUGGUUUCGGCUAUCACUUUUGGAUGGACCCGCGGCGUAUUAACUUGUUGGUAGGGUAACGGCCUACCAAGGUAAUGAUACGUAGCCGAACUGAGAGGUUGAUCGGCCACAUUGGGACUGAGACACGGCCCAAACUCCUACGGGAGGCAG
rnacentral:rRNA from 1 species